UUUUCUCAUUCAAGAAUCUUCUAAUGUCACUCCUAUUUAAACCCUCAAAACCUUACGCUUCUCUCCCUCAAACCAACUCCUUCACACUCAAGAGCAAUACCAAAAAGCUCUGAAAUAAUCGUGGUAUUCGUGUUAGCUUUUCAGCGAAGUAAAUGUCUACCUUAGUUGAAUUUUGUGUGUCCCAUGAUUUUUUUCCAUAUCAUAGUAUGAGAAUGGCUAAAAAGAAAGUGAAUAUGAAGCCAUGGAUUGAGGUGGCACCACCACUUGUUAUUUUCCCAACAAAGAUUUCUCAUUCUCCAAAUCUUGAAACAAUCAAAGAAGAAGAAAAAAAUGAAGAUGAUGCAAAAGACCCCUCAUUUUAGCUUUCUUCAAGAAUCUCUCUAGUGUUUCUUCUUCCCUUUUGAGUUUUUUUUUUGGGCAUAGGGGAAGAAGGGUAUUAGUUGUAUUUAUUUGUUAGAGCAAUGUGAGCUAUAUAUUUAAGUAUGUGUGUGUACAUAUAUUUAAGAAUGAUGAGAUUCUUAGCUUUCCUAAUUGUGUGUGUAUGUGUUCACUUAAUGUCUCCAGUAUUUUGUUAAGGAUAUGAUUGGUAUCAAUCUGUCCUAAUGGUAUAUGUUUACACAGCAUUUGCUUAUAAUCUCCAUUCUAUUGAUCAACAGUUUUAAGUUUUGUAUACUAAUAAUGUAAAAAGUAUAAUAACGCCAACAUGCUUAGUGUAGUCUCACAAACGAGACCUCAAAAGGAUAGAUAGGGUAUACAAUGAUCUUAACCCUACUUCUUUAUGAGGUAGAUCGAGAGACUGAAUUCAAUAGACUCUCGACUCAAAAGAUAAUGUGAAAAAUAUUAAACCCUUUGCAAAUGUGAGCUAAUGCUUUCCGCGUGCAUUAGUUGUAUCGCUAUGUGUUGCAUUUGCAUUUGGUUUGUGUGCCAUGCAGUGAGCAAGUGUGCUAAAGUGGCAUAGAUACGUUAUUAUACCUCAAUUUCUCAUAUCAACUAUGUUGUAUCGAGAGUAGUGUUGGCCAGUCUAACGUCUACAAGAUGAAAUGAAAGUAGCGGUAUUGAGUAUGUUGAAAUUGAUGUGUGGGCAUAUAAGGUGUGAAAACGUUAUGAACAAAGAUAUUAGGGAUAAUGAGGGGGGCAUGACCUACUUGAUGGACAAGAUGGGGGAGGCGACACUCAGAUGUGGUCGAGUCGAUCGAAGAUUGAUUGAAUGCAUUUGUCCAAGUACAUGGAUCUUUAACUGUUUGGGGUCGUUUUGUUGGAAAAAAGUUAUCUGGAACAAUUAAUAUCGGAAUUAAUUAUCCCACCAGGUAUACGGGAUAAUUUAUCCCAUCACUAUAGUGUAAAUGGUGGGAUAAAUAAUCCUGAUACUAAUACCUCACACUAAACGUGAGAUAAAAUUGUAGUUCAUUUUAUUUCGAAACCACUCAUUCCUUAUACCUCACACCAAACGACACAUUAAUAUAUGGGGUGUCCGGGUACCAGGGGCGGAGCUACACUUACCGAAGGGUGGUUAGAUGAAUACCCUUCGUCGGAAUUUUUUUUCGAGUAUAUAGGUUAAAUAUAGAUAUUUAUGGUUAUAUACAUGUUGUUGCACACCCUUGACAAGCUAGAGAAGCAUAAUCCAGUGGUCAAGAGUGUGCAUUUUCACAUUAAGAAUCCGGGUUUGGCCAAGGAAAAAUAUAAACACCCUUAACCAAAAGUCUGACUCACAUAUCUAUAAGUUCCUUUUUCCUUUCCUUGUUUCAUGGCAGUUCCAUCUAUCGCUGUAUUGCGAAAGAUCAAAUUGGCCAGUAUCAAAUUGGCCAGUUCUCCUAAAAAUACCUCCAUAUUCCACUGAGUAGGAUUUGACAAUGCUUUUGAAUCGAUGAUUAUAAAACUUUCUUUUAUUGAUCUCGAUUCUCGUAUAAAUUUGGAACCUAUGUACCUAGCUUAACCGAAGAGCCUUGAAGUCCCCCAGUAUCAUAGAAUUACAUUAGGUACCAGGUGAAUAGACACGAGAAAAACCCUCUAUAACUUCUUCGAUCAAAUAUAUAUGAAGACCAUUUCCAAUAAACCUUGGCUCUAGAAUCUUAUUUUCUUGUCAAUUUUCAAUAAUAUCUUCAUUUUGAACAAUUAAGAGUUGAAGACCGUCCAAAUAUAUAUGAAGUAGGGUAACUCCCUUUUUAAUGAAAUAAACAGCUUCAAACACUUGUUCAUUCCAAUUCUAUGGGGUAACUUAUUUGGUCUAGGCAUUUGGUUCUCCAAUUAUUGUAACAUUAUUAUUAAAAAAUCAUUUCAUCAUUAAGUGCACAUGCAACUUCUAUUGCCAAAUGGCACCAAAAUGCAAAUUCCUUCAAAUAGAGGAUACAUAUUCCUUGUCUUAAAAUUUGACUAUGCUUACAUCACCACAAGAGUUAAUUUCAUUUUGAUUUUUUCCUUUACUUUUCUUUUGGUCUCGAACUAGAACAUUUUUUCAAUUUUUUAUGAGGUUCUUUUGUGUCUUUCGAUUUAAAUUUUAAUGUACAAAGUUAUUUGAUGUCUGUGUUGGAAGGGUAUAAAUAAAUAGGUGUAUGCUCAUUGGAAUAGUUAGAAUACGCAAGUCAAUCCAAAUAUCGUGUAAAAUAAAAAUUAAAGUGGCCAACUAAAAUAAAACAGAGGGAGUACACAGUACAUGUAUGGUGUUCAUUUUUUUCAACUACAAAUGUAAGGACUUUCUAUUGAGGAAUUUUUUUACCUUACUUCGUGGAGCUAUAUUGAUUAUUGAUCCGACAAGUCUAACGAAGUUCACAAUUUUAAUCGACUUAGUGAAUCAACUCCUUUGUUUCGCAUUUGUGGGAUCAAUCACCAAUUAUGACAAUUCACUAGAGCUUCUUUCUUUCUUCCUUUUCUGCUUACUCACAGGAGUCAGAUAUCCACACAGGAGGUGGGAGUCUAUUAAAGAACGAUUCUUUUUAAACUAUAUGAACUUUCUAAAGAAAUGUCAUGCAAAGCGUGUCACGAGAUAUAUCGCUAAACUUUCUAAAGAAAAAGAAAGAUGACCUUUGAUCUUUGAAGUUGCUAACUCGCAAUAUAUCGAUAGUCCCUUAAACUUGUGACCUAACAAUCAUAUAGAUAUGAGUAUAUAACAUUUAAAUCAAAGACGCCAUUUCUAUGAAAUUGAUGGUGUUAGUUAGAGUACACCAAUCAUUCACAAUAGGCCAACCUUUAGCUUUCUAGUGGGCAACCUCUUUGUUUUCUAAUUCAUUUAUGACAAUUCUAUACACGUGGUAUUGCAAAAACCAUCCAAUAAUAUUCACCUCAAAUAUUUUGGUUUGAUAUUUUCUCAUUCAAGAAUCUUCUAAUGCCACUCCUAUUUAAACCCUCAAAACCUUAUGCUUUUCUCCCUCAAACUAACUCCUUCACACUCAAGAGCAAUACCAAAAAGCUUUGAAAUAAUCGUGGUAUUCGUGUCAGCUUUUCAGCGAAGUAAAUGUCUACCUUGGUUGAAUUUUGUGUGUCCCAUGAUUUUUUUCCAUAUCAUAGUAUGAGAAUGGCUAAAGAGAAGGUGAAUAUGAAGCCAUGGAUUGAGGUGGCAGCACCACUUGUUGUUUUCCCAACAAAGAUUUCUCAUUCUCCAAAUCUUGAGACAAUCAAAGAAGAAGAAAAAAAUGAAGAUGAUACAAAAGACCCCUCAUUUUAGCUUUCUUCAAGAAUCUCUCUAGUGUUUCUUCUCCCCUUUUAAAGUUUUUUUUUGGGGUAAAGGGGAAGAAGGGUAUUAGUUGCAUUUAUUUGUUAGAGCAAUGUGAGCUAUAUAUUUAAGUAUGUGUGUGUACAUAUAUUUAAGAAUGAUGAGAUUAUUAGCUUUCCUUAUUGUGUGUAUGUGUGCACUUAAUGUCUCCAGUAUUUUGUUAAGGAUAUGAUUGGUAUCAAUCUGUCCUAAUGGUAUAUGUUUACACAACAUUUGCUUAUAAUCUCCAAUUGCUUAUUAAGUUUUAUAUAUUAAUAAUGUAAAAGUAUAAUAACGCCAAC
rnacentral:lncRNA from 1 species